rnacentral:lncRNA from 1 species
AAUAUUUGUGCCGUUACCCGAGAAUUGCAAUUUAGACUUGUGAAUUGAUGAUUUUGUUAUUUAUGGGUCUUUAUGUUUUUGAUAUUAGUUGGGUGUUCACCAGUAUAUGAAUAGCACAUAGAGUAGAGGCAAUCCCUUACUCCCACUGAAUUUGAAUCUUCAGAGGAUCCUACAGAUACAUAAGAGGAUCACAGUGCAAAAAAGAGAUGAUAUUCCUAAAGGGGUUUAUGAAGUU